rnacentral:rRNA from 1 species
CCUACGGGUGGCAGCAGUGAGGAAUAUUGGUCAAUGGCCGGAAGGCUGAACCAGCCAAGUCGCGUGAGGGAUGACUGCCCUAUGGGUUGUAAACCUCUUUUAUAAGGGAAGAAUAAAUGCCACGUGUAGCAUGAUGCCUGUACCUUAUGAAUAAGCAUCGGCUAACUCCGUGCCAGCAGCCGCGGUAAUACGUAGGUGGCGAGCGUUAUCCGGAAUGAUUGGGCGUAAAGGGUGCGUAGGCGGCCUGUUAAGUCUGGGGUGAAAGUUACCGGCUCAACCGAAACAGGCAAUUGAAACUGGCGGGCUAGAGAGCAGGAGAGGGCGGUGGAACUCCAGGUGUAGCGGUAAAAUGCGUAGAUAUAUCGAAGAACACCAGUGGCGAAGGCAGCCGCCUAGCCUGUUACUGACGCUGAGGCACGAAAGCGUGGGGAGCAAAUAGGAUUAGAUACCCUAGUAGUC